GAUGAAGAACGCAGCGAAAUGCGAUAAGUAGUGUGAAUUGCAGAAUUCAGUGAAUCAUCGAAUCUUUGAACGCACAUUGCGCCCCUCGGUAUUCCGUGGGGCAUGCCUGUUCGAGCGUCAUUUACCCCUCAAGCACUGCUUGGUGUUGGGCGUCUGUCCCGCUUCGCGCGCGGACUCGCCCCAAAGGUAUUGGCAGCGGUCGUGCCAGCUUCUCGCGCAGCACAUUGCGCUUCUCGAGGCGGUCGAUCGGCGUCCACGAAGCUCACCUCCACCGUUUGACCUCGGAUCAGGUAGGGAUAACCGCUGAACUUAAGCAUAUCAAUAAGCGGAGGA
rnacentral:misc_RNA from 1 species